UUAUCAAAAACAUCGCCUCUUGCUAACAAAGGAAGUACUAGAGGUCCCGCCUGCCCUGUGACCACAAAGUUUAACGGCCGCGGUAUCCUGACCGUGCGAAGGUAGCGUAAUCAUUUGUCUUUUAAAUAGAGACCUGUAUGAAUGGCAUAACGAGGGCUUAACUGUCUCCUCCCCCGAGUCAAUGAAAUUGAUCUGCCCGUGCAGAAGCGGACAUAAACACAUAAGACGAGAAGACCCUAUGGAGCUUUAGACAAAAGAUUAAACAUGUAAAGAAACCAAACUAACCAAAAGGAAUACAAAAGCCACAAAACCCAGUGUAAACUGAUCCAAAUGUCUUCGGUUGGGGCGACCAUGGGGGAAAGAAAAGCCCCCACGAGGAACAGGGACAACCCCUAAACUAAGAGAGACACCUCUAAGCAACAGAAAAUCUGACCAAAAAUGACCCAGGACACUGAUCCUGAUCAACGAACCAAGUUACCCUAGGGAUAACAGCGCAAUCCUUUCCCAGAGUCCAUAUCGACGAAAGGGUUUACGACCUCGAUGUUGGAUCAGGACAUCCUAAUGGUGCAGCCGCUAUUAAGGGUUCGUUUGUUCAACGAUUAAUAGUCCUACGUGAUCUGAGUUCA
rnacentral:rRNA from 1 species